GUGGGGAAUCUUCGGCAAUGGACGAAAGUCUGACCGAGCAACGCCGCGUGAGUGAAGAAGGUUUUCGGAUCGUAAAACUCUGUUGGUAGAGAAGAACGUUGGUGAGAGUGGAAAGCUCAUCAAGUGACGGUAACUACCCAGAAAGGGACGGCUAACUACGUGCCAGCAGCCGCGGUAAUACGUAGGUCCCGAGCGUUGUCCGGAUUUAUUGGGCGUAAAGCGAGCGCAGGUGGUUUAUUAAGUCUGGUGUAAAAGGCAGUGGCUCAACCAUUGUAUGCAUUGGAAACUGGUAGACUUGAGUGCAGGAGAGGAGAGUGGAAUUCCAUGUGUAGCGGUGAAAUGCGUAGAUAUAUGGAGGAACACCGGUGGCGAAAGCGGCUCUCUGGCCUGUAACUGACACUGAGGCUCGAAAGCGUGGGGAGCAAACAGGAUUAGAUACCCUGGUAGUCC
rnacentral:rRNA from 1 species